rnacentral:rRNA from 1 species
CCCUUAGAGUUUGAUCAUGGCUCAGGAUGAACGCUAGCGGCAGGCCUAACACAUGCAAGUCGAGGGGUAACAUAAGGUGCUUGCACUUUGAUGACGACCGGCGCACGGGUGAGUAACGCGUAUACAAUCUGCCUCAUACUAGGGAAUAGCCCAGAGAAAUUUGGAUUAAUGCCCUAUAGUAUCAUUAAGAGUCAUCUCUUUUUGGUUAAAGGUUACGGUAUGAGAUGAGUAUGCGUUCUAUUAGUUAGUAGGUGAGGUAACGGCUCACCUAGACUGCGAUAGAUAGGGGCCCUGAGAGGGGGAUCCCCCACACUGGUACUGAGACACGGACCAGACUCCUACGGGAGGCAGCAGUGAGGAAUAUUAGACAAUGGGCGAAAGCCUGAUCUAGCCAUGCCGCGUGCAGGAUGACGGCCCUAUGGGUUGUAAACUGCUUUUAUACAGGAAGAAAAAACUCUACGUGUAGAGUCUUGACGGUACUGUAAGAAUAAGGAUCGGCUAACUCCGUGCCAGCAGCCGCGGUAAUACGGAGGAUCCAAGCGUUAUCCGGAAUUAUUGGGUUUAAAGGGUCCGUAGGUGGACAAUUAAGUCAGAGGUGAAAUCCUGCAGCUCAACUGUAGAAUUGCCUUUGAAACUGGUUGUCUUGAGUCAUUAUGAAGUGGUUAGAAUGUGUAGUGUAGCGGUGAAAUGCAUAGAUAUUACACAGAAUACCAAUUGCGAAGGCAGAUCACUAAUAAUGUACUGACACUGAUGGACGAAAGCGUGGGUAGCGAACAGGAUUAGAUACCCUGGUAGUCCACGCCGUAAACGAUGGUUACUAGCUGUUCGGACUUCGGUCUGAGUGGCUAAGCGAAAGUGAUAAGUAACCCACCUGGGGAGUACGUUCGCAAGAAUGAAAACUCAAGGGAAUUGACGGGGGCCCGCACAAGCGG